CCUACGGGAGGCAGCAGUGGGGAAUAUUGCACAAUGGGGGAAACCCUGAUGCAGCGACGCCGCGUGAGUGAUGAAGUCUUUCGGUAUGUAAAGCUCUAUCAGCAGGGAAGAUAAUGACGGUACCUGACUACGAAGCUCCGGCUAACUACGUGCCAGCAGCCGCGGUAAUACGUAUGGAGCAAGCGUUAUCCGGAUUUACUGGGUGUAAAGGGAGCGCAGACGGCAGGGCAAGUCUGCUGGGAAAGUCCGGGGCUCAACCCCGGGACUGCAUUGGAAACUGUCCGGCUAGAGUGCAGGAGAGGUAAGUGGAAUUCCUAGUGUAGCGGUGAAAUGCGUAGAUAUUAGGAGGAACACCAGUGGCGAAGGCGGCUUACUGGACUGUAACUGACGUUGAGGCUCGAAAGCGUGGGGAGCAAACAGGAUUAGAUACCCGAGUAGUC
rnacentral:rRNA from 1 species